CAAACGUUAGACACCAAAAAUAUCUAACGCAGUAUUCUUAGAAUAUAUAGGUGAAAUAUUUUUUUAUUUUUUUAUUAAACGAGACAAUGUAAAGACAAACAUUUUGGGCGGCUUGGAAUAUUAUUACACCAUUUGGGAAUACAAAUAAUUGGGUGAAUCCUCUUCAAGCAUAUAGUGAUACCGGAAUUUUCGAAAGUGUUAGAGAAAGUUACAAACCAUUGUGAUCCUUAAUAUCAACAACUAAAAACUAAAAAUGGAAACAUAAUACAGUCAAUACGCAAAUUUAAUCAUCAUCAUUCCAGUCUUCAAAUAUUUUUUUGGUAUUUUCACAAAGAUGCGGAUGUUUACUACUUGGAACACUUUCAUAAUGAUCACAUUCGGACGCUGAUGAAUUGCCUUUCUUGUACUUAAGCGAACCCACUAAAUUGGUCAGUGAAUAAUUACAAGUAACUCAGAAUAAAAUACCUAAAGAACCGCUUUGGAAUAGCGCCAAACCACAACCGACAAAAGCUGCUCUUUAGUUUGCCAUUGCUGUGAAGUGCACGAGUUUUUGUCAGACAGCGUUGGAAUUCUUUUAAGACAAUUCGUUUGCCAGAGCAUUGCCAUCAUCAACAACAUUAUAUUCGGACCACCUUUUUAAUGUAAUUUUCACCUCAUCAACUAUUACUUUUGGCUUUAUACAUCCACCCCACUUAUUAAAAUUUUGACCAGAGUCUGGAAACCGUUCAGUACCAUGGCAAGCAUCGUGCUGCAUAUUACAACGUUUUGCAUGGAGUCCGGUUAUAUAUGCUAACUCGUCAUCUCAGAUUAUUUCGCGCAUGCGAGUGGCUUUUGGGAAGAUUCCAGCGCCUUGAUUUCCAAAUUCUUGUUCACCCCCAGUUAAUCUGUUGCGAUGUUCAUUGUGUCGAUCGACAUAAAGACGUUUGCCUUCUUUGAGCAACCACAUAAUCCGGGUCACACAUUAAAUGCUUACUCGUGCCACAUAAUUUAACCUGCUUAUCACAAUAAUAAUAAGCUUCGGUGAAAAUGCAAGAUCCUAUCGAAAUACCGACUGAAUAAAAGCGAAAAUAUUGAAUAUUAAACAUUAUAUAGAUAUGAAUAUAUUUAUAGAUAUGAAUUAAUUGUGUAAAUUUCCUUCAAAAUUUUUUAAUAAAAUUUGUAAAAAAUCUGAGUGAUUUUUGACACUUAAAUGUGUAAAUUCAA